rnacentral:rRNA from 1 species
UUAAGCGACUAAGCGUACACGGUGGAUGCCCUGGCAGUCAGAGGCGAUGAAGGACGUGCUAAUCUGCGAAAAGCGUCGGUAAGGUGAUAUGAACCGUUAUAACCGGCGAUGUCCGAAUGGGGAAACCCAGUGCAAUUCGUUGCACUAUCGUUAACUGAAUACAUAGGUUAACGAGGCGAACCGGGGGAACUGAAACAUCUAAGUACCCCGAGGAAAAGAAAUCAACCGAGAUUCCCCCAGUAGCGGCGAGCGAACGGGGAGCAGCCCAGAGUCUGAAUCAGCUUGUGUGUUAGUGGAACGGUCUGGAAAGUCCGACGGUACAGGGUGAUAGUCCCGUACACCAAAAUGCACAGGUUGUGAACUCGAAGAGUAGGGCGGGACACGUGGUAUCCUGUCUGAAUAUGGGGGGACCAUCCUCCAAGGCUAAAUACUCCUGACUGACCGAUAGUGAACCAGUACCGUGAGGGAAAGGCGAAAAGAACCCCGGCGAGGGGAGUGAAAAAGAACCUGAAACCGUGUACGUACAAGCAGUGGGAGCACCUUCGGGUGUGACUGCGUACCUUUUGUAUAAUGGGUCAGCGACUUAUAUUCUGUAGCAAGGUUAACCGUAUAGGGGAGCCGCAGGGAAACCGAGUCUUAACUGGGCGUUAAGUUGCAGGGUAUAGACCCGAAACCCGGUGAUCUAGCCAUGGGCAGGUUGAAGGUUGGGUAACACUAACUGGAGGACCGAACCGACUAAUGUUGAAAAAUUAGCGGAUGACUUGUGGCUGGGGGUGAAAGGCCAAUCAAACCGGGAGAUAGCUGGUUCUCCCCGAAAGCUAUUUAGGUAGCGCCUCGUGAACUCAUCUUCGGGGGUAGAGCACUGUUUCGGCUAGGGGGUCAUCCCGACUUACCAACCCGAUGCAAACUACGAAUACCGAAGAAUGUUAUCACGGGAGACACACGGCGGGUGCUAACGUCCGUCGUGAAGAGGGAAACAACCCAGACCGCCAGCUAAGGUCCCAAAGUCAUGGUUAAGUGGGAAACGAUGUGGGAAGGCACAGACAGCCAGGAUGUUGGCUUAGAAGCAGCCAUCAUUUAAAGAAAGCGUAAUAGCUCACUGGUCGAGUCGGCCUGCGCGGAAGAUGUAACGGGGCUAAACCAUGCACCGAAGCUGCGGCAGCGACACUAUGUGUUGUUGGGUAGGGGAGCGUUCUGUAAGCCUGCGAAGGUGUGCUGUGAGGCAUGCUGGAGGUAUCAGAAGUGCGAAUGCUGACAUAAGUAACGAUAAAGCGGGUGAAAAGCCCGCUCGCCGGAAGACCAAGGGUUCCUGUCCAACGUUAAUCGUGGCAGGGUGAGUCGACCCCUAAGGCGAGGCCGAAAGGCGUAGUCGAUGGGAAACAGGUUAAUAUUCCUGUACUUGGUGUUACUGCGAAGGGGGGACGGAGAAGGCUAUGUUAGCCGGGCGACGGUUGUCCCGGUUUAAGCAUGUAGGCUGAUUGUCAAGGCAAAUCCGGAUAAUCAAGGCUGAGGUGUGAUGACGAGGCACUACGGUGCUGAAGUAACAAAUGCCCUGCUUCCAGGAAAAGCCUCUAAGCAUCAGGUAACAUUAAAUCGUACCCCAAACCGACACAGGUGGUCAGGUAGAGAAUACCAAGGCGCUUGAGAGAACUCGGGUGAAGGAACUAGGCAAAAUGGUGCCGUAACUUCGGGAGAAGGCACGCUGGUGUGUAGGUGAAGUCCCUGCGGAUGGAGCUGAGACCAGUCGAAGAUACCAGCUGGCUGCAACUGUUUAUUAAAAACACAGCACUGUGCAAACACGAAAGUGGACGUAUACGGUGUGACGCCUGCCCGGUGCCGGAAGGUUAAUUGAUGGGGUUAUCCGUAAGGAGAAGCUCUUGAUCGAAGCCCCGGUAAACGGCGGCCGUAACUAUAACGGUCCUAAGGUAGCGAAAUUCCUUGUCGGGUAAGUUCCGACCUGCACGAAUGGCGUAAUGAUGGCCAGGCUGUCUCCACCCGAGACUCAGUGAAAUUGAACUCGCUGUGAAGAUGCAGUGUACCCGCGGCAAGACGGAAAGACCCCGUGAACCUUUACUAUAGCUUGACACUGAACAUUGAGCCUUGAUGUGUAGGAUAGGUGGGAGGCUUUGAAGCGUGGACGCCAGUCUGCGUGGAGCCAACCUUGAAAUACCACCCUUUAAUGUUUGAUGUUCUAACGUUGGCCCCUGACCGGGGUUGCGGACAGUGUCUGGUGGGUAGUUUGACUGGGGCGGUCUCCUCCCAAAGCGUAACGGAGGAGCACGAAGGUUAGCUAAUCCUGGUCGGACAUCAGGAGGUUAGUGCAAUGGCAUAAGCUAGCUUGACUGCGAGCGUGACGGCGCGAGCAGGUGCGAAAGCAGGUCAUAGUGAUCCGGUGGUUCUGAAUGGAAGGGCCAUCGCUCAACGGAUAAAAGGUACUCCGGGGAUAACAGGCUGAUACCGCCCAAGAGUUCAUAUCGACGGCGGUGUUUGGCACCUCGAUGUCGGCUCAUCACAUCCUGGGGCUGAAGUAGGUCCCAAGGGUAUGGCUGUUCGCCAUUUAAAGUGGUACGCGAGCUGGGUUUAGAACGUCGUGAGACAGUUCGGUCCCUAUCUGCCGUGGGCGCUGGAGAAUUGAGGGGGGCUGCUCCUAGUACGAGAGGACCGGAGUGGACGCAUCACUGGUGUUCGGGUUGUCAUGCCAAUGGCACUGCCCGGUAGCUAAAUGCGGAAGAGAUAAGUGCUGAAAGCAUCUAAGCACGAAACUUGCCCCGAGAUGAGUUCUCCCUGAGACUUUAAGUCUCCUGAAGGAACGUUGAAGACGACGACGUUGAUAGGCCGGGUGUGUAAGCGCAGCGAUGCGUUGAGCUAACCGGUACUAAUGAACCGUGAGGCUUAACCUU